GAGAGAUGAGCCAAUCCAUGGUUGAUGGGCUACGCUCCACGUGGCAAGAUUUCAGUGGGUGCUGGGCAAGGUAAAGAGCAUGGCAGGCAUGGUUUACCUUGCAGGUCAUGGAUGAGGAUGAGGGAAGUAGCCAUCAUCUACUGCAUGCUGUCAGCAGCAGCAGCCAGGGGGGAUGAGAUUCUUCUUGUCAUGGGAUUGUGGGGGUGCGAGGGGCCACAUAACCAAAGAGAAGAUAAGAGACUGAAUCAUUGAUGGAGAAGUAACCUCGUUGCCUUUUCCUUUCCACCAGCGCAUGGAAUGGGAGUCUUUGGGACAAAAGCUAGUCCCAUUCUGUGAUCAUGGCCCUCCUGUUACCUCGCGGAGCAUCAGAUAAACAACAAAUCAGGUGCAUCAUAUGGAAUUCCAGUGCCAACCAAGUGAGCAUGAUUGGGAGUUGCCUCAUGAAAGGUAUUGGAGGACCACUGUCCCAAUAGCAUCCAUCAAGAGGACUACCGCUCCAAUCACAGGAAGUUCUCAAACGCAGCAAAUUAACCAGCUCAGAUCUGCUCAUAGGUUCCAUUGGUGACUAGUCAUUUAAGGUGCUUUUUAGAUCAGAGACUCAUCCAUGCAGUCUUGAUCUUCUCAAGCUUAACUUGCAAGCAACGUUGAAUUGGCAGAAUGCAUGAGUACAAAGUCGAGCAGGAUUUUUCUCUAUCAGAAAAUAAUACACCGUGAUGAUGUCCAGAGUCGACAAUCAUAUCCUCCCCAAAUCAAAUUCAUGAGGGAGAUGGACUACUCAUUCAUGUAAAGAGCAGCAGCUCUUCCCAAGUUCUUCAAGAUUCUGGAGAGAGAGUGUGUGUAAGUUCAUCUUGCAGUGUCAAAUUUUAUCUCUGCACAGAACAACAUUCACAGGGGUUUUUAUGGUCAGUGGAUGUCAACAUUUACAAGUAAAUUGCAACUUGCAGAGUAAUAUGUCA